GGUCCAAUAGCAUAGUGGUAAUGCGUCAGGAUGAUGUUCCAUGUUCGCUAAGAAUUCUCCUGAAGAUCCCUUGUUCGAUUCAAGGCUGGACCG